ensembl:rRNA 5S_rRNA 5S ribosomal RNA
GGUUAUGGCUAUACUACUCCGAAUGCACUGAUCUUGUCUGAUCUCAGAAUCUAAGGCAGGUUGGGCCUGGUUAGCACUUGCAUAGAAGAAAUCAUAUUCAUAUAACUU